rnacentral:rRNA from 1 species
UCAGGAUGAACGCUAGCGACAGGCCUAACACAUGCAAGUCGAGGGGCAGCACAAGGAGCAAUCUGAGGUGGCGACCGGCGCACGGGUGAGUAACACGUAUGCAACCUGCCUGUAAGCGGGGAAUAACCCGUUGAAAGACGGACUAAUACCGCAUAAUACUAAAUUACUGCAUGGUAAUUUAUUUAAACAUUUAUGGCUUACAGAUGGGCAUGCGCAUGAUUAGCUAGUUGGAGAGGUAACGGCUCCCCAAGGCAACGAUCAUUAGGGGUUCUGAGAGGAAGGUCCCCCACACUGGUACUGAGACACGGACCAGACUCCUACGGGAGGCAGCAGUGAGGAAUAUUGGUCAACGGACGAGAGUCUGAACCAGCCAAGUCGCGUGCAGGAAGAAUUGUCCUAUGGAUUGUAAACUGCUUUUGCAGGGGAAUAAAGUGCAUCACGUGUGAUGUUUUGUAUGUACUCUGCGAAUAAGGAUCGGCUAACUCCGUGCCAGCAGCCGC